AAAUUGUGACUUAUAAAAAGGACUUCACUCAUUGAAACACUGACAGCAUUCCCAUUUCGCCUAACCUAACACCUUCUUUUGUUCUCAGUUAACAAAGAUGGCUUUUUCUUCCUCUGUUCGUUUGUUUGCAACUGCCUCACUCUUGUUGAUGCUCCUCAUGGCCUCUGAGAGGGGAAUAAUGGCUGCGAGUCCCAGAAAAUACUCGAUGAGUCCCAGAAAAUACGUGGUCGGGAAACCCCAUAUGACACACGCCACUGCGUUAACUUUUGCAAGUCUAUGGGAUUCACCUUCGGAAUGUGCGACACUUAUUUUCCCUUCUUCAGCAAAGUCUGCAACUGCAUGAAGGCAUGAAGGCUCGGCCGCGUUGCUAAAUACCUUAUAUAUGUAUAAUAAUAUUGCUUCCUUCAACUUCAGUGUUUGUUUUAAUAAAUAAUAAUAAUGUGAUCCAUAUAUAGCUAAAUAAAUAAAGGUCUGAAAUAAUAAUAUAAUCCAAACAUGGAGGAGUUUGUUUGCUUCGGUAGCUAGCAAUGAAGCUCCUCUGAUGUUGUUUGGAUUUGGUUCGUUGUUACUAA